rnacentral:rRNA from 1 species
UACGUAGGGUGCGAGCGUUGUCCGGAAUUAUUGGGCGUAAAGGGUGCGUAGGCGGUCGGAUAAGUCUGACGUGAAAUCUCCGGGCCUAACCCGGAACUGCGUUGGAAACUAUCUGGCUAGAGGAAUGGAGGGGAGACUGGAAUUCCUGGUGUAGCGGUGGAAUGCGCAGAUAUCAGGAGGAACACCGGUGGCGAAGGCGGGUCUCUGGGCAGUAACUGACGCUGAGGAGCGAAAGCGUGGGGAGCGAACAGG